rnacentral:rRNA from 1 species
GACGUAGGUGGCGAACGUUAUCCGGAAUUAUUGGGCGUAAAGGAUGCGUAGCUGGUGUAGUAAGUUAUCGGUGGCAAAUCGAGGCUCAACCUCGUGGAAGUCGGUAAUACUGCUAUGCUAGAGGAUAGGAGAGGUUAACGGAACUCCCUGUGGAGCGGUGAAAUGCGUAGAUAUAGGGAAGAACACCAAUCAGGCGAAGGCAGUUAACUAUUCUAUUCCUGACAUUGAGGCAUGAAAGCGUGGGGAGCAAAACGG